AAAAACAUGGCUUCUCGAAUCUAAUUUAUGUGAAGUCGUACCUGCCCAGUGAAGUUUUAACGGCCGCGGUACUCUGACCGUGCAAAGGUAGCAUAAUAAUUUGCCUUAUAAUUGAAGGCUGGAAUGAAUGGUUUGUCAAGGAUAAAACUGUCUCUAUAAAAUUAUAUAGAAUUUUAUUUUUAGGUGAAAAAGCCUAAAUUUCAUUAAAAGACAAGAAGACCCUAUCGAGCUUUAAAAAACUUAAUAAAUACUUAUAACUAAUUAGGAGUUUAAUUAUUAAAAAUUUUGGUUGGGGCAACCUAGGAGUAAAUAAAGCCUCCUUUUUUUAAAAAACCAUUUUGUAAGGAUCCAAAAAUUUUGAUCAAAAGAAAUAGUUACCGUAGGGAUAACAGCAUUAUUUUUUUUAAGAGCUCUUAUCGAAAAAAAAGUUUGUGACCUCGAUGUUGGACCAGAAUAUCCUGAAGAUGUAGAAGUCUUCAAGGGUUGGUCUGUUCGACCAUUAAAAUUCUACGUGAUC
rnacentral:rRNA from 1 species